rnacentral:ncRNA from 2 species
AUAUAACUUGGCUGCGUUGGUGUCCGCCUGUCGGCAACCCGCCGACAGCGGAACCGUAAGAGGGAAUCCGGUUGAAAUCCGGAACUGCCCCGCAGCGGUGAGCGAAAACGAACCCCGCCAAAAGCACUGGACCACCACACGGUCCGGGAAGCGGCGGGUACUAGAAAUCCGGCCCGAAUACGGCCGCCAUGUUCGCAAGUCCGAAGACCUGCCAACGCCCGCCGGUUGCC